rnacentral:lncRNA from 1 species
UAAAUAAAUUGAAUUCCUAAUUAAAAUUUUCCCACAAAUAAAAUUCCAGGCCAAGAUUUUAUCAAACAUUUAAGGAAAAAUACCAAUCUUACAGCGUACAUAUAUGUACACACACAUAGAUGUGUGCAUAUAUAUGUACACACACAUAGAUGUGUGCAUAUAUAUGUACACACACAUAUAGAUGUGUGCAUAUAUAUGUACACACACAUAUAGAUGUGUGCAUAAAAGAAAAAGGAAGAAAGAAAGAAAAGUGGGAAGGAGAGAAAUAAUAACUACAGUUGGCAAGAAUGUGGAGAUAUUGGAACUCUUGUGUGUUGUUGGUGGGGAUGUAAAAUGGUGUCACCAUUAUGGAAAACAGUAUAGCGGUUUCUCAAAAAGUCAGUAGAAUCAUCGUGAUCCACCAUGGUAUGCUGAACAUGCUGAAUAUCCACAUGUAAAAAAAUGAAGUUGGAUUCAUACCUCACCCCAUAUUCAAAAAUAAUUUGGAUAUAUCUGGGUAUAUAUCCAAAAACAGGUUCAUGAAGAGAUAUUUGCAUACCUAUGUUCAUAACAGCAUUAUUCACAGUAGCCAAAAGGUGGAAGCAACCCAAAUGAAGAAGAAUCAACAAAAUGUGGUACAUAUGUUGUACUACAAAAAUGUUGCAAUAAACAUUCUUUUGCAAACAUAUUUUUAUAUAUUUGUUAUAUUUUAUUAUUUAUUUUAUUAUUAACUUCUAUAUGUAUACUAUGAAUAGAGCAUAUAGCUAGUACUAAUUUUAUAAUUUAAAUUUAUUUUUUAAUAUGUCUUUUGGGGGAUGCUAACUAUGUAAUCAAUUAUCUAAUUGUUCCAUGGAUAUAAUAAAAUGAAUAUUUUCUAUAUACCUAUUAGGAUGAUUAUUCAUUUCACCCAUUUCUUUACUUACAUUUUUGGCUAUUAGAAUUGAUUGGGAUAGAUUGAAAUAUCCCAAGAUAGUUUGCUUUUCCAAGUUUUAUUUGAAUUUUUAACAAUUUGUCUCUGAAAAUGUUGUUUGCCUUCAUAGUGCUUUUUUUUAAUUUUUAUUUUUUUGGGGCACAUAGGCCUUCGUAGUGUCUUUAAUCUUCUUGCAUCAGUAUUAGUUUUGCACUUCUUCUGUUUACUCA